rnacentral:misc_RNA from 1 species
GAAAUGCGAUAAGUAAUGUGAAUUGCAGAAUUCAGUGAAUCAUCGAAUCUUUGAACGCACAUUGCGCCCGCCAGUAUUCUGGCGGGCAUGCCUGUUCGAGCGUCAUUUCAACCAUCAAGCCCCGGGCUUGUGUUGGGGACCUGCGGCUGCCGCAGGCCCUGAAAACCAGUGGCGGGCUCGCUGUCACACCGAGCGUAGUAGAUUCUCAUCUCGCUCAGGGCGUGCUGCGGGUUACGGCCGUAAAACAGCCUUAUUUUACCCAAGGUUGACCUCGGAUCAGGUAGGAAGACCCGCUGAACUUAAGC